rnacentral:rRNA from 1 species
GACGGAGGAUGCAAGCGUUAUCCGGAAUGAUUGGGCGUAAAGCGUCCGCAGGUGGCAGUUCAAGUCUGCUGUCAAAGACCGGGGCUUAACUUCGGAAAGGCAGUGGAAACUGAACAGCUAGAGUAUGGUAGGGGCAGAGGGAAUUCCUGGUGUAGCGGUGAAAUGCGUAGAGAUCAGGAAGAACAUCGGUGGCGAAGGCGCUCUGCUGGACCAUAACUGACACUCAGGGACGAAAGCUAGGGGAGC